UACGUAGGGUGCGAGCGUUAAUCGGAAUUACUGGGCGUAAAGUGUGCGCAGGCGGCCGAGCAAGUCGAGUGUGAAAGCCCCGGGCUUAACUUGGGAAUUGCGCUCGAAACUACUUGGCUGGAGUGUGGCAGAGGAAGGUGGAAUUCCAGGUGUAGCGGUGAAAUGCGUAGAGAUCUGGAGGAACACCAAUGGCGAAAGCAGGUACCUGGACUAUUACUGACACUCAGCUGCGAAAGCUAGGGGAGCAAACAGG
rnacentral:rRNA from 1 species